GGAGAGGUGCCCGAGUGGUUAAAGGGGACGGGCUGUAAACCCGUUGGCUAUGCCUACGUUGGUUCAAAUCCAACCCUCUCCACCA
rnacentral:tRNA from 1 species